rnacentral:rRNA from 1 species
GACAGAGGGUGCAACCGUUGUUCGGAAUUACUGGGCGUAAAGCGCGUGUAGGCGGCCCUGCAAGUCGGAUGUGAAAUCCCACGGCUCAACCAUGGAAGUGCAUUCGAAACUGCAGAGCUAGAGUCCUGGAGAGGAAGGUGGAAUGCUUGGUGUAGAGGUGAAAUUCGUAGAUAUCAGGAAGAACACCCGUGGCGAAGGCGGCUCUCUGGGACGGUACUGACGCUGAGACGCGAAAGCGUGGGGAGCGAACAGG